UACGAAGGGGGCUAGCGUUGCUCGGAAUGACUGGGCGUAAAGGGCGCGUAGGCGGCUUGCACCGUCAGAUGUGAAAUUCCUGGGCUUAACCUGGGGGCUGCAUUUGAUACGUGUGGGCUUGAGUGCGGAAGAGGGUCGUGGAAUUCCCAGUGUAGAGGUGAAAUUCGUAGAUAUUCGGAAGAACACCAGUGGCGAAGGCGGCUCACUGGCCCGUUACCGACGCUCAGGCGCGACAGCGUGGGGAGCAAACAGG
rnacentral:rRNA from 1 species